rnacentral:rRNA from 1 species
UGGGGAAUAUUGGACAAUGGGCGAAAGCCUGAUCCAGCAAUGCCGCGUGAGUGAUGAAGGCCUUAGGGUUGUAAAGCUCUUUUACCCGGGAUGAUAAUGACAGUACCGGGAGAAUAAGCCCCGGCUAACUCCGUGCCAGCAGCCGCGGUAAUACGGAGGGGGCUAGCGUUGUUCGGAAUUACUGGGCGUAAAGCGCGCGUAGGCGGUUUUUCAAGUCAGGGGUGAAAGCCCGGAGCUCAACUCCGGAAUUGCCCUUGAAACUGGAUAACUUGAGUCUUGGAGAGGUCAGUGGAAUUCCGAGUGUAGAGGUGAAAUUCGUAGAUAUUCGGAAGAACACCAGUGGCGAAGGCGACUGACUGGACAAGUACUGACGCUGAGGUGCGAAAGCGUGGGGAGCAAACA